GAUGAACGCUGGCGGCGUGCCUAAUACAUGCAAGUCGAGCGAACAGACGAGGAGCUUGCUCCUCUGACGUUAGCGGCGGACGGGUGAGUAACACGUGGAUAACCUACCUAUAAGACUGGGAUAACUUCGGGAAACCGGAGCUAAUACCGGAUAACAUGUUGAACCGCAUGGUUCAACAGUGAAAGACGGUCUUGCUGUCACUUAUAGAUGGAUCCGCGCCGCAUUAGCUAGUUGGUAAGGUAACGGCUUACCAAGGCAACGAUGCGUAGCCGACCUGAGAGGUGGGUCGGCCACACUGGAACUGAGACACGGUCCAGACUCCUACGGGAGGCAGCAGUAGGGAAUCUUCCGCAAUGGGCGAAAGCCUGACGGAGCAACGCCGCGUGAGUGAUGAAGGUCUUCGGAUCGUAAAACUCUGUUAUUAGGGAAGAACAAAUGUGUAAGUAACUAUGCACGUCUUGACGGUACCUAAUCAGAAAGCCACGGCUAACUACGUG
rnacentral:rRNA from 1 species